UAAAUGACAUUUUUAUAUACUCUUAUUUUUAAAAAUUAACUAGCAAAUAUUAUUUUGCAUUAUUCUAGGUAGAAAUGAUCAUCUAGCAAUCUUAUUUCUACAUAUGAGAUUGGCAGAGGACUAUUUUAUUUUUUAAAACUCCAUUUAUUUCUUCUCCCAAUGUAAUCCAUUAUACUUUCUCAUACUGGUAUCUUGCCACAGAGAGUCCAUAAAUAUACGUGUCUGUUUUCAGUUUAUUUGUUUGAAUUAUGAGCCUAAAAUAGUGUUAGUGCCACAGCAUUUUGAACUUCUGAUCAUUAUUCUCUGAAAUGAAAUUCAGCUUAGGUGCAGGAAAAGUAAUAGAACCCGGAGCUUUCAGCUAAAAUGAAAACACUGUGAAGUAACAAUAACAGGAAAAAGGAGAUCACAAAUUCUAGAAAUUGUGAGGCGAGGUACGUACAGGUAAGGUGCUGGUGCGAGGAAAGGGAAGGGCAAGAAAUGACACGAUUAUGUUUUAACUAAAAAAUAAAAAAGUAACACAAUUAAUUUUAAGCUAACUAACUAAAUAAUAGGAAGGAUAUAAGGACCAUUAAUAUCAGAAACCAAUCCUAACAUGGUAAGAAGCUAAAUAGGUCACUGGUGGUUGCCAUGACCUGCUCAGCCAUGGUGACCAGAAAAGGAAGUGAUAGGAGAAAGUAACACAACUUCAGUUUCUCUUCAAGAAUGAACAAUUUUUACCCCACCAUAGUUUAUAAAAAGCUUAGCUAACUUAGUAGGAUAGCACUGAAACAGAGAUUAAGCAGAGUAUGUGACACCCUUAACUAAAUUAUCCCUUCUGCAUUCCCCCAACCCAGGUGGACAUGUUUUGCCUAGGAGAACAUUUCUUCCAGGCUUCCUCUCUUGUCUGAAGUUUUCCACGUUCAUGGGGCCACAAAUGGAUUAUGGUUUAUGCUUGAGAAAGAAACUGCAGACUAUCUGGACCUUAAGAGGGAUUUGAACUUCUUGUCCUGCAGAUCUUUCACUUGCUUGGUAAGAGUAACACCAAGAUAUUUUAUAUUACUUGUGACUAUUGCGAAGGGUACCACUUCCCUAAUUUCUUUAUCAGCCUGUUUAUCAUUUGUCUAAAGGAAGGUUACUGAUUUCUUUGAAUUAAUUGUUAUAUCUUGCCACUUUGCUGAAGUUGUUUAUCAGCUGUAGAAGCUCUCUGGUGGAAUGUUGGGGGUCCUUAUGUAUACUAUCAUAUCAUCUGCAAAUAGAGAUACUUUGAUUUCUUCCUUUUUAAUUUGUAUCCCCUUGAUCUCCUUUUGUUGUCUAAUUUCUAUAGCUAGAACUUCAAACAUUAUAUUGAAUAGAUAGGGAGAGAGUGGGCAUUCUUGUCUUGUCCCAGAAUUUAGUGGGAUUACUUAUAGUUUGCUAUAUAUUGUUUUUAUUAAGUUUAGGUUUGUGUCAUGACUUCAUGGUCUCUCCAAGCCUUUUAACAAAAAGGGGUGUUGUAAUUUAUCAAAGGUUUUUUCAGCAUUUAAUGAGAGUAUCAUGUGGUUUUUUCCUUGAGUUUGUUUAUAUAGUGUAUUACAUUGUCGGAUUUUCACAUAUUGAACAAUCCCUGCAUUCUUGGGAUGAAGCCUACUUGGUCUUGGUGAAUGAUGGUUUUGAUAUGUUCUUGGAUUCAGUUUGCAAAUCUUAUUGAGUAUUUUUGCAUUAUAUUCAUAAGAGAAAUUGGUCUUUUUUGUUGGGUCCUAGUGUGGUUUAAGAAUCAGAGUAAUUGUGGCUUCAUAGAAUGAAUUAGGUAGUGUUCCUUCUGUUUGCAUUUUGUGGAAUAGUUUGAGAGGUAUUGGUAUUGGCUCUUCUUUGAAGGUCUGGUAGAAUUCUGAGAAUUCUGCAUUAAAACCAUCUGGCCCUGGACUUUUUUUUUCCUUUUUGGUUGUGACAUUUUAAAUGACUAUUUCUAUUUUCAUAGUGGUCAUUGGACUUGUUUAGAUCAUUUUCCUGAUCUUGAUUUAACAUUAGUACAUGGUAUCUAUUUAAUCAUCUAUUUAAUCAAGAUUUGCAAGUUUUGUAGAGUAUACACUUUUGAAGUAAUUUCUGAAGAUUUUUUUAAUUUCCUCAGUUUCUGUCAUUAAGAGUCAGUUUUUAUUGCUGAUUUUCUCUAAUUUGGAUACUGUCUCUGUGCACUUUAACUAGUUUGGCUAAGGGUUUGUCUAUCUUGUUGGUUUUAUCAAAGAACCAGCACUAAGUUUUGUUGAUUCUUUGUAUCAUUCUGUUUGUUUUAUAAAUGGUUGAUUUCAGCCCUGAGUUUGACUAUUUGCUACUGUCUACUCCUCUUGGGUGUGUUUGCUUCUUUUUGUUCUAUAGCUUUCAGAUGUGCUUUUAUGUUGCUUUUAUGGGAUCUCUCUAAUUUUUUAUGGAGUCUUCACAGAUAUAGAAAGAACAAUUUUCAACUUCACGUGGAAAAACCAAAGAUGCAGGAGAGCCAAAACAAUUCUCAACAAAAAAGAUCUUUUGGGGGGAAUCACCAUCCCUGAUCUCAAGCUACAAAGCAUUAGUGAUAAAAACUGCAUGGUAGUACUGCAGAGAGAGAGAGAGACAGGUUGAUUAAUGGAGUAAAAUGGAUGACCUAGAAGUAAACCCACACUGAUCUUUGAUAAGGAAGCCAAAAGCAAAUGGUAGAGAAAAAGAAAGCAUCUUCAAUAAAUGAUGCUUGUUCAACUGAUAUUCUGUAUGCAGAAGAAUGAGAAUCGAUCCAUAUUUAUCACCUUGCACAAAGGUCAAGUCCAAGUGGAUCAAGGACUUCAGUGUAAAACGAGAUACACUGAAUGUAAUAGAAGAGAAAGCGGAAAAAGCCUUGACUCAUUGGCAUAGGGGAAAAUUUCCUGAACAAAACACCAAUGGCUCAGCCUCUAAGGUCAACAACUGAUAAAUGGGACCUCAUGAAACCAAGAAGUUUCUGUAAGGCAAAAGGCACUACUGUCAAUAGGAUGAAUUAGCAACUUACAGAUUAGUAAAAAAUCUUCACUAAUGCUAAAUUUGAGCUCGGUUUAACAUGCAAAAUUUAUAUAAAAAAACUCAAGAAACUAACCUCUAAAAACCAAAUAAACCAAUUUAAAAACGGGGUACAGAGCCAAACUGAAUUCACAACAGAAGAAUCUCAAAGGGCCAAGAAGCAAUUAAAGAAGUUUUCAAAGUCCUCAAUGAUCAGAAAAAUGCAAAUCAAAAUGACCUGAGAUUCCACUUGACACUAAUCAGAAUGGCUAAAAUCAAAACCUCAGGUGACAGCACAUGGUUGGCAAGGAUGAGAGAAAGGAGAAUGCUCCUCCAUUGCUAAUGGAAUUGCAAACUGGUACACCCACUCUGGAAACCAAUCUGGAGGUUCCUCAGAAAAUUGGAAAUAGUUCUACAUUAAGACCCAGCUAUAUUACUCUUGGGCAUAUGCCCAGAAGAUGUUGCAUCACACCAUAAGAAUAUGUGCUUCACCAUCUUCAUAGCAACCUUAUUUGUAAUUGCUAUAAUCUACAAAGAACCCAGAUGUCCCCCAACUGAAGAAUGGAUACAGAAAAUGUGGUUCAUUUACACAAUGGAAUACUAUCCAGCUAUAAAAAAUGAGGACACUGUGAAUUUUGCAGGCAAAUGGAUGGAACUAGAAAAUAUCAUCUUGAGUCAGACCCAAAAAGAGAUGCAUGGUAUGUACUAACUGAUAAGUGGAUAUUAGCCAAAACCCACAAAAUGCCUAGUAUACCCACAGACUAUAAGAAGUGUUAACAAGCAGAAAGGCCCAUGUGAGCAUGUUUCAAUACCACUUAGAAGGGGGAAGGAAAUAAUUAUGGGAAGGAGAGGGAAGGAGGGAUCUGGUUGGGAGAAAGCAGGGGAUGAGAAGAACAGUAUGAGCUACAGGUGGGAUAAGAGAGAAGCACGCAUGACCAAGAGAAUGAAUGGAAAUAAGCAGCUUCAGGGGUUGUGAAGUGGGAGUUACCCUCAAGAAAGUAACACAGGCCCAGGAGUUGAGAAACUCUCAGGACUCAAUGGAGGUGUCCUUAGAAUAAAUGCCCAUUAAAUGGGGAGAGUGAACUCAGAGUCUACGUCCAGUAGGUAGACAAGGCCUCAAGUAGAGUGACUGGAUUACCAACCCAAAGUCAAAACUUCUGACCAAGAAUUCUUCCUAUCUAAAAGAAAUACAGGGACAAAAAUGGAGAAGAAAUUGGAGGAAAGGCAUUCCAGUGACUAUCCCAUCUAUCCCUUGGGGGAGCACCAAGGCCUGACACUAUUACUGAUGCUAUGAUGUGCUUAAAGAUGGGGACCUGGCAUGGCUGUUCUCUACAAGGUCCGACCAGCAAAUGACUAUGACAGAAGCAGAUAGUUACACCCAAUCAUUGGACUGAAGUCAAAACCUCCUUGGUUGAAUUUGGGGAAGGACUGAAGAAGCUGAGGGGAAAGUGACCCAUAAGAAGACCAGCAGUCUCAAAUAAUCCAGACACCAGGAAGCUCCCAGAGCCUGAGCCACCAACAGGAGCAUAUACAGGAUGGGUUAAGGUUCUUGAGACAGAUACAGCAGAGGUUUGCCCAGUGUGGCCUCAGUGGGAGAACAUGCACUUAAUCCUCAAGAGACUUGAGUCCCUGGGAAAUAGGGAGGCCUUGGGGGUAGCACCCUCUUGGAAGUCAGGAGGAAGAGAAAUGAGAUGAGGAAAUGUGGGAGGGGGAACUAAGAGGGAUGCAAUGACUGGAAUGUAAAUAAAUAACAUAAUUUUUAAAACAUUGUAAAGAAUUACAAAAUAAAUAAAAAGAAUCCAAAAAUUA